CUUACAAUGAAAAAAACCGUUAGGCACUCUUAUACUGACAAGAAGUAAAUAAAGAUUAAUAAAAUGUUAAGUUUGUACCUUUUGUAUCAGGGGAUUUUAAAAAUAAAAUUAUAAGUGUAUCGAGUCGGCUGGAUCUUUAAGUAGAGCAUUAGUGGGAUUUAUUGAUUCUAGGUAGUAAGAGGUGAAAAGCAAGCGACAGGCGUGAUAACUAAUUGUCUUAGAUUAUAAAAAGUAAAGUUUUUAAAAAUCUAUAAAAGUUAGGUAUAAGGAGAACUAGGCUUUAAAUUAGCUAGGCUGAUAAAUUGUUUUAAAUAAUUAGAGUUUAGAAGAUUAAUAGAGUUAUUUGACGAUAUUGACUAUUAAUAGUUUAUAGAAAUAAUGAAGUUAUUGAAUAAGUAGUGAAGUGGAAAAAGGACUCAGGGUAAGUUAGAUAGUUUAGCAAAAACAUUUUUAUCUGAGUAUUAGAAAAUAAAACCUGCCCAGUGCGUUGUAAACGGCUGCAGUAUUUUGACUGUGCUAAGGUAGCAUAGUCAUUUGCUACUUAAUUGGUAGCUAGUAUGAAUGGUUAAACUGAUUUAACUGGUUUGUGAACUUAAUAGGAGAUUUAAGUAGAGGUAAGAAUUCUUCUGUUGACUAGGGGACGAUAAGACCCUAAAAGCUUAACUAAGAGAUUGCUUGUGGUGGUAGUAAAUAAAUAGUUUCACUGGGGCGGUGAUAGUAAAUAACUGCUAUAGUUUUUAAUGAUCCUGUUAUAUGUAGAUAGUAGGGAAAAGUUACUUUAGGGGUAACAGUACAAUAAAUUUGGAGAGACCAUAUCGAUAAAUAAGUUUGUAACCUCGAUGUU
rnacentral:rRNA from 1 species